GACGAACGCUGGCGGCGUGCCUAAUACAUGCAAGUCGAGCGGACUUUCAAGAAGCUUGCUUUUUGAAAGUUAGCGGCGGACGGGUGAGUAACACGUGGGCAACCUGCCUGUAAGACGGGGAUAACUCCGGGAAACCGGGGCUAAUACCGGAUAAUAUCUUUCUUCGCAUGAAGGAAGGUUGAAAGGCGGCGCAAGCUGCCGCUUGCAGAUGGGCCCGCGGCGCAUUAGCUAGUUGGUGAGGUAACGGCUCACCAAGGCGACGAUGCGUAGCCGACCUGGGAGGGUGAUCGGCCACACGGGGACUGAAACACGGCCCAGACUCCUACGGGAGGCAGCAGUAGGGAAUCUUCCGCAAUGGACGAAAGUCUGACGGAGCAACGCCGCGUGAGCGAAGAAGGUCUUCGGAUCGUAAAGCUCUGUUGUCAGGGAAGAACAAGUACCGUUCGAAUAGGGCGGUACCUUGACGGUACCUGACCAGAAAGCCACGGCUAACUACGUGCCAGCCGCCGCAGUAA
rnacentral:rRNA from 1 species